rnacentral:rRNA from 1 species
UACGAAGGGGGCUAGCGUUGCUCGGAAUCACUGGGCGUAAAGCGCACGUAGGCGGAUUGCUAAGUCAGGGGUGAAAUCCUGGAGCUCAACUCCAGAACUGCCUUUGAUACUGGUGAGCUUGAGUCCGGAAGAGGUGAGUGGAACUGCGAGUGUAGAGGUGAAAUUCGUAGAUAUUCGCAAGAACACCAGUGGCGAAGGCGGCUUACUGGUCCGGUUCUGACGCUGAGGCGCGAAAGCGUGGGGAGCAAACAGG